rnacentral:rRNA from 1 species
AACCCGCCCACAUGAAGUUGGAGUUGCUAGUAAUCGCGGAUCAGAAUGCCGCGGUGAAUACGUUCCCGGGCCUUGUACACACCGCCCGUCACACCAUGGGAGUUGGGAGCACCCGAAGCCGGUGAGCUGACCGCAAGGAGGCAGCCGUCGAAGGUGAGACCGAUGACUGGGGUGAAGUCGUAACAAGGUAUC